UACGGAGGGUGCAAGCGUUAUCCGGAUUCACUGGGUUUAAAGGGUGCGUAGGUGGGUUGAUAAGUCAGUGGUGAAAUCCCCGAGCUUAACUCCGAAACUGCAUUCGAUACUGCCGUGCUUGAGGACUGGAGAGGAGACUGGAAUUUACGGUGUAGCGGUGAAAUGCGUAGAUAUCGUAAGGAAGACCAGUGGCGAAGGCGGGUCUCUGGACAGUUCCUGACGCUGAGGCACGAAGGUCAGGGGAGCAAACGGG
rnacentral:rRNA from 1 species